AACGAACGCUGGCGGCAGGCCUAACACAUGCAAGUCGAGCGAGGACUUCGGUCCUAGCGGCGGACGGGUGAGUAACGCGUGGGAACGUGCCCUUUGCUUCGGAAUAGCCCUGGGAAACUGGGAGUAAUACCGGAUGAGCCCUUUGGGGGAAAGAUUUAUCGGCGAAGGAUCGGCCCGCGUUGGAUUAGGUAGUUGGUGGGGUAAUGGCCUUCCAAGCCGACGUUACUUAGCUGGCUGGAGAGGAAGAUCAGCCACACUGGAGAUGGGAAACGGCCAAGAAUCAUACGGGAGGCGCCAGUGGGUGAUCUUAGAAAAUGGGGGAAACCCUGAUCUAGCCAUGCCGGGUGAGCGAUGAAAGCCUUAGGGUUGUAAAGCUCUUUAAGCUGGGAAGAUAUUGACGGUACCAGCAGAAGAAGCCCCGGCUAACUCCGUG
rnacentral:rRNA from 1 species